rnacentral:rRNA from 1 species
UGCAUAUUCAAAAAGCGGAGGAAAAGAAACCAACAGGGAUUGCCUCAGUAACGGCGAGUGAAGCGGCAAAAGCUCAAAUUUGAAAUCUAGCACCUUCGGUGUUCGAGUUGUAAUUUGAAGAUGGUAACCUUGGGUUUGGCUCUUGUCUAUGUUCCUUGGAACAGGACGUCAUAGAGGGUGAGAAUCCCGUCUGAUGAGAUGCCCAUUCCUAUGUAAGGUGCUAUCGAAGAGUCGAGUUGUUUGGGAAUGCAGCUCUAAGUGGGUGGUAAAUUCCAUCUAAAGCUAAAUAUUGGCGAGAGACCGAUAGCGAACAAGUACAGUGAUGGAAAGAUGAAAAGAACUUUGAAAAGAGAGUGAAAAAGUACGUGAAAUUGUUGAAAGGGAAGGGCAUUAGAUCAGACUUGGUGUUUUACGAUUAUCUUCUCUUCUUGAGUUGUGCACUCGUAUUUCACUGGGCCAGCAUCGAUUCGGAUGGCAAGAUAAUGGCAGUUGAAUGUGGCUUCACUUCGGUGGAGUGUUAUAGCUUCUGCUGAUAUUGCCUGUCUGGAUCGAGGGCUGCGUCUUUGACUAGGAUGCUGCGUAAUACACAGU